AUUGAACGCUGGCGGCAGGCCUAACACAUGCAAGUCGAGCGGAGCGGCGGACGGGUGAGAAAUGCCUAGGAAUCUGCCUGGUAGUGGGGGAGAACGUCCGGAAACGGGAGCUAAUACCGCAUACUAUCAGAUUAGCCUAGGUCGGAUUAGCUAGUUGGUGGGGUAAAGGCCUACCAAGGCGACGAUCCCUAACUGGUCUGAGAGGAUGAUCAGUCACACGGGAACUGAGACACGGCCCAGACGCCUACGGGAGGCAGCAGUGGGGAAUAUUGGAAAAGGGGCGAAAGCCUGAUCCAGCAAGGCCGCGUGUGUGAAGAAGGUCUUCGGAUUGUAAAGCACUUUAAGUUGGGAGGCGUUACCAACAGAAUAAGCACCGGCUAACUUCGUGCCAGCCGCCGCGGUAAUUC
rnacentral:rRNA from 1 species